AUUGAACGCUGGCGGCAGGCCUAACACAUGCAAGUCGAGCGGAGCGGCGGACGGGUGAGUAAUGCCUAUGAAUCUGCCUGGUAGUGGGGGAUAACGUCCGGCAACGGGCGCUAAUACCGCAUACUAUCAGAUGAGCCUAGGUCGGAUUAGCUAGUUGGUGGGGUAAAGGUCUACCAAGGCGACGAUCCGUAACUGGUCUGAGAGGAGGAUCAGUCACAGUGGAAAUGAGAAACGGUCAAGACUACUACGGGAGGCAGCAUGGGGGAAUAUUGGACAAUGGGCGAAAGCCUGAUCCAGCGAUGCCGGGUGUGAGAAGAAGGCCUUCGGGUUGUAAAGCACUUUCAGCGGGGAGGCGUUACCCGCAGAAGAAGCACCGGCUAACUCCGUGCCAGCAGCCGCGGUAAUUC
rnacentral:rRNA from 1 species